GAAUAUUGCGCAAUGGGGGCAACCCUGACGCAGCAACGCCGCGUGCGGGACGAAGGCCUUCGGGUUGUAAACCGCUUUCAGCAGGGAAGACAUCGACGGUACCUGCAGAAGAAGCCCCGGCUACCUACGUGCCAGCAGCCGCGGUAACACGGAGGGGGCGAGCGUUAUCCGGAUUCAUUGGGCGUAAAGCGCGCGCAGGCGGCGCGCCAAGCGGGACCUCUAAUCUGGGGGCUCAACCCCCAGCCGGGUCCCGAACUGGCGCGCUCGUGUCCGGUAGGGGAGGUCGGAAUUCCCGGUGUAGCGGUGGAAUGCGCAGAUAUCGGGAGGAACACCGAUGGCGAAGGCAGACCUCUGGGCCGCGACAGACGCUGAGGCGCGAAAGCUAGGGGAGCGAACA
rnacentral:rRNA from 1 species